rnacentral:rRNA from 1 species
UACGUAGGUGGCAAGCGUUAUCCGGAUUUAUUGGGCGUAAAGGGAACGCAGGCGGUCUUUUAAGUCUGAUGUGAAAGCCUUCGGCUUAACCGGAGUAGUGCAUUGGAAACUGGGAGACUUGAGUGCAGAAGAGGAGAGUGGAACUCCAUGUGUAGCGGUGAAAUGCGUAGAUAUAUGGAAGAACACCAGUGGCGAAAGCGGCUCUCUGGUCUGUAACUGACACUGAGGCUCGAAAGCGUGGGGAGCAAACAGG